rnacentral:rRNA from 1 species
UACAGGAGGGUGCAAGCGUUAAUCGGAAUUACUGGGGCGUAAAGCGUGCGUAGACGGUUGCGUAAGUCAGAUGUGAAAGCCCCGGGCUCAACCUGGGAAUUGCAUUUGAGACUGCGUAGCUAGGGUGCGGAAGAGGGAAGCGGAAUUUCCGGUGUAGCGGUGAAAUGCGUAGAUAUCGGAAGGAACACCAGUGGCGAAAGCGGCUUCCUGGUCCAGCACCGACGUUCAGGCACGAAAGCGUGGGGAGCAAACAGG